rnacentral:rRNA from 1 species
AUCUUAAGGUAUUGAACUUAGGUGAAGCCUGCCCAGUGAAUUUUUAAUUUUAACGGCCGCGGUACUUUGACCGUGCUAAGGUAGCGUAAUAAUUUGUCUUUUAAUUGGAGUCAAGUAUGAAGGGCUUUUUGGGGUAAGACUGUCUUUAAUAGAUUUCUUAUAAAUUACUGUGUAGGUGAAAAAGCCUUUUUAUUUAUAGAGGACGAGAAGACCCUUUGAAUUUUAAAUAUUUUAAAUUUUUAAUUAGAUUUUUAGUUGGGGCGGCUAAAAUAGAUUAAGUUGUAUUAUAACAAAUUUUAGAGUGAUUAGGCAACAAGAAAGCGUGUGCGAGAAAGAUUAAAUUACCAUAGGGAUAACAGCAUAAUUCUUUAGAGUUUGUGACCUCGAUGUUGGACUAGGAAAGAAAAUAAUUAGAAGUUAUUUUUAUUUAGUUCCGUUCGAACUUUUAUUCCUACGU